AACGAACGCUGGCGGCAGGCCUAACACAUGCAAGUCGAGCGGGACCUUUGGGUCUAGCGGCGGACGGGUUAGUAACGCGUGGGAACGUGCCCAAAGGUACGGAAUAGCCUCGGGAAACUGAGAGUAAUACCGUAUGUGCCCCUCGGGGGAAAGAUUUAUCGCCUUUGGAUCGGCCCGCGUUGGAUUAGGUAGUUGGUGGGGUAAUGGCCUACCAAGCCGACGAUCCAUAGCUGGUUUGAGAGGAUGAUCAGCAACACUGGGACUGAGACACGGCCCAGACUCCUACGGGAGGCAGCAGUGGGGAAUCUUAGACAAUGGGGGAAACCCUGAUCUAGCCAUGCCGCGUGAGCGAUGAAGGCCUUAGGGUUGUAAAGCUCUUUCAGAUGGGAAGAUAAUGACGGUACCAUCAGAAGAAGCCCCGGNUAACUCCGUGCCAGCAGCCGCG
rnacentral:rRNA from 1 species